rnacentral:rRNA from 1 species
CCCUUAGAUGUUCGGGGCCGCACGCGCGCUACACUGAAGGAAUCAGCACGUCUUUCUCCUUGUCCGAAAGGACUGGGUAACCCGCUGAACCUCCUUCGUGCUAGGGAUUGGGGCUUGUAAUUCUUCCCCAUGAACGAGGAAUUCCCAGUAAGCGCGAGUCAUAAGCUCGCGUUGAUUACGUCCCUGCCCUUUGUACACACCGCCCGUCGCUACUACCGAUUGGAUGGUUUAGUGAGAUCCUCGGAUUGGUCCCGGCGCGGCCUCUGGUCGUGCCGGAGUGCCGAAAAGAAUGUCGAACUUGAUCAUCUAGCGGAAGUAAAAGUCGUAACA